rnacentral:rRNA from 1 species
AUCGAACGCUGGCGGCAGGCUUAACACAUGCAAGUCGAGCGAGCGGCGGACGGGUGAGUCACGUAUGUGGACCUGCCUGCUAGUGGGGGAUAACUUCUGGAAACGGUGGCUAAUACUGCUUACUACCGGAUGAACCCACAUGGGCUUAGCUAGUAGGGGUGGUAAUGGUUCACCCAGGCGACGAUCUCUAGCUGGUCUGAGAGGAUGAUCAGCCACACUGGGACAGGUACACGGCCAAGAUGCCUACGGGAGGCAGCAGUGGGGAAUGGUGCAAAAUGGGCGCAAGCCUGAUGGAGCCAUGCCGCGUGUAUGAAGAAGGCCUUAGGGUUGUAAAGUACUUACGGCGGGGAGGCGUUACCCGCAGAAGAAGCACCGGCUAACUCCGUGCCAGCAGCCGCGGUAAUAC